CCUACGGGAGGCUGCAGUGGGGGAUAUUGCACAAUGGGGGAAACCCUGAUGCAGCAACGCCGCGUGAAGGAAGGCGGUUUUCGGAUUGUAAACUUCUGUUCUUAGUGAAGAAUAAUGACGGUAGCUGAGGAACAAGCCACGGCUAACUACGUGCCAGCAGCCGCGGUAAUACGUAGGUGGCAAGCGUUGUCCGGAAUUACUGGGUGUAAAGGGAGCGCAGGCGGGAAGGCAAGUCAGCUGUGAAAACUCCGGGCUUAACUUGUAGACUGCAGUUGAAACUGGUUUGCUGGAGUGAAGUAGGGGUUGGCGGAAUUCCGGGUGUAGCGGUGAAAUGCGUAGAUAUUCGGAGGAACACCGGUGGCGAAGGCGGCCAACUGGGCUUUAACUGACGCUGAGGCUCGAAAGUGUGGGGAGCAAACAGGAUUAGAUACCCCGGUAGUC
rnacentral:rRNA from 1 species